CGUACAAGGUCUCCGUAGGUGAACCUGCGGAGGGAUCAUUACAAGAACGCCCGGGCUUCGGCCUGGUUAUUCAUAACCCUUUGUUGUCCGACUCUGUUGCCUCCGGGGCGACCCUGCCUUCGGGCGGGGGCUCCGGGUGGACACUUCAAACUCUUGCGUAACUUUGCAGUCUGAGUAAACUUAAUUAAUAAAUUAAAACUUUUAACAACGGAUCUCUUGGUUCUGGCAUCGAUGAAGAACGCAGCGAAAUGCGAUAAGUAAUGUGAAUUGCAGAAUUCAGUGAAUCAUCGAAUCUUUGAACGCACAUUGCGCCCCCUGGUAUUCCGGGGGGCAUGCCUGUUCGAGCGUCAUUUCACCACUCAAGCCUCGCUUGGUAUUGGGCAACGCGGUCCGCCGCGUGCCUUAAAUCGUCCGGCUGGGUCUUCUGUCCCCUAAGCGUUGUGGAAACUAUUCGCUAAAGGGUGUUCGGGAGGCUACGCCGUAAAACAACCCCAUUUCUAAGGUUGACCUCGGAUCAGGUAGGGAUACCCGC
rnacentral:rRNA from 1 species